rnacentral:rRNA from 1 species
UUGGAGGGCAAGUCUGGUGCCAGCAGCCGCGGUAAUUCCAGCUCCAAUAGCGUAUAUUAAAGUUGUUGCAGUUAAAAAGCUCGUAGUUGAAUUUCGGGAUCAGUACGCCGGUCGUGCCUUCGGUACGUACUGGUGUCACUGAUUCCUCCCUUCUGACGAACCGUCAUGCCAUUCACUUGGUGUGGCGGGGAAUCAGGACUGUUACUUUGAAAAAAUUAGAGUGUUUAAAGCAGGCUCACGCUUGAAUACAUUAGCAUGGAAUAAUGAAAUAGGACGUUGAUCUUAUUUUGUUGGUUUCUAGGAUUGACGUAAUGAUUAAUAGGGAUAGUUGGGGGCAUUAGUAUUCAAUUGUCAGAGGUGAAAUUCUUGGAUUUAUUGAAGACUAACUACUGCGAAAGCAUUUGCCAAGGAUGUUUUCAUUAAUCAAGAACGAAAGUUAGGGGAUCGAAGACGAUCAGAUACCGUCGUAGUCUUAACCAUAAACUAUGCCGACUAGGGAUCGGAUGAUGUUAAUUUUAAUGACUCAUUCGGCGCCUUACGGGAAAC